UGUGUACUCCCUCCGUUCCAAAAUACUUGACUUCCAUUUGUCCAAAAAUGGAUGUACCUAUAUACUAACACAUGUCUAGAUACAUAUAUAUUUUGACAAAUAGAAGGCAUGUAUUGUGCAACGGAGGGAGUAGAAU
rnacentral:pre_miRNA from 1 species